rnacentral:tRNA from 1 species
GGCAGUGUGGGUUAGUGGUAGACUGCUGGACCUGAAGUCAGGAAGAUCUAGGUUCAAAUCCUAUCUCAGACA